rnacentral:rRNA from 1 species
CGUAGGUGCUAUACUGCAGUCGAACGAGGCCCUUUGUAUUCGUACGAAGGUGUCCUAGUGGCGAACGGGUGAGUAACACGUAGAUGACCUGCCCCGAAGAUAGGGAUAACCCCGGGAAACUGGGGCUAAUACCUAAUGUCCUUCACGGUGUUAGAGUACCAUGAAGGAAAGGGAGCAAUCCGCUUUGGGAGGGGUCUGCGGCCCAUCAGCUAGUUGGUAGGGUAAUGGCCUACCAAGGCGACGACGGGUAGGGGGCCUGAGAGGGUGGUCCCCCACAAUGGCACUGAAACACGGGCCAUACACCUACGGGUGGCAGCAGUAGGGAAUAUUGCACAAUGGACGAAAGUCUGAUGCAGCAACGCCGCGUGCGCGAUGAAGGCCUUCGGGUUGUAAAGCGCUUUUCUGGGGGAAGAGGAAGGACGGUACCCCAGGAAUAAGUCUCGGCUAACUACGUGCCAGCAGCCGCGGUAAAACGUAGGAGGCGAGCGUUAUCCGGAUUUACUGGGCGUAAAGCGCGUGUAGGCGGUUUGGUAAGUCGGACGUUAAACCUCCCGGCUCAACUGGGAGAGGCCGUUCGAAACUACCAGACUCGAGGGCAGUAGAGGGAGAUGGAAUUCCGGGUGUAGCGGUGAAAUGCGUAGAUAUCCGGAGGAACACCAGUGGCGAAGGCGGUCUCCUGGACUGACCCUGACGCUCAGACGCGAAAGCUAGGGGAGCGAACGGGAUUAGACACCCCGGUAGUCCUAGCCGUAAACGAUGCAGACUUGGUGUUGGUUGUUUAAACACAAUCAGUGCCGUAGCUAACGCGAUAAGUCUGCCGCCUGGGGGAUUAC